AUGUGUCGAACAACCAAUCUCUUGCUCACCCUCAUCAGCAUAAGCAUAUUUCCAUUCUUCACAAAUGGCGCACUACAACCCCAGCAUCAGCAUGCCCAUGGCGGCGGCUGCAACCCUGACGAGAGGGCCACCUUGCUCUCCUUCAAAAAGGGCAUUACAAGCAACGACGCCAACAUCCUCACCUCGUGGCAGGGACAGGACUGCUGCCGGUGGAGAGGUGUCAGUUGCAGCAACCGAACAGGCCAUGUCAUCAAGCUUCAUCUUCGCAAUCCGAAUGUGGCACUCGACACUUAUGGCGAGUAUGAUGUAUGUGGUGGUGCCAGUGCUUUGUUCGGCGAGAUAAGUCCCUCUCUGCUUUCCUUGAAGCAUUUAGAGCACAUGGACCUCAGCAUGAACUGUUUACUAGGUACAAAUAGUCAAAUUCCUCAUUUGCUGGGCUCCAUGGGGAACUUGAGAUACCUUAACCUCUCUGGCAUACCAUUUACCGGUAGGGUGCCUCCUCAUCUUGGUAAUCUGUCUAAGUUACAGUAUCUUGACCUUGGCCAAGAUGGUGAUUAUUCUGAUAUGUACUCAACGGAUAUCACCUGGUUAACAAAGCUAGCUUUCCUAAAGUUCCUUGGCAUGAGUGGAGUAAAUCUCUCAGGGAUAGUUGACUGGCCUCAAACCCUGAAUAUGAUUCCACCUCUGAGGGUUAUUGAUCUUUCUUACUGUCUUCUUGAUAGUGCAAACCAAUCACUUGCGCACCUUAAUCUCACAAAACUUGAGAAGCUUGACCUGUCCUAUAAUGAUUUUGAGCACUCACUUGCAUCUGGCUGGUUUUGGAAAGCAACAAGCCUCAAGUACCUCGAUCUUGGGCAGAACUCACUAUUCGGCCAGUUCCCUGACAUGCUAGGAAACAUGACAUACCUUCAAGUCCUUGAUAUUUCGCAGAAUUGGAACGGGGACAUGAUGAUGACAGGAAACCUUAAGAAUCUUUGA
rnacentral:rRNA from 1 species